GUGGGGAAUAUUGGACAAUGGGCGAAAGCCUGAUCCAGCCAUGCCGCGUGUGUGAAGAAGGUCUUCGGAUUGUAAAGCACUUUAAGUUGGGAGGAAGGGCAGUAAGUUAAUACCUUGCUGUUUUGACGUUACCGACAGAAUAAGCACCGGCUAACUUCGUGCCAGCAGCCGCGGUAAUACGAAGGGUGCAAGCGUUAAUCGGAAUUACUGGGCGUAAAGCGCGCGUAGGUGGUUUUGUAAGUUGGAGGUGAAAUCCCCGGGCUCAACCUGGGAACUGCCUCAAAAACUGCAUUACUAGAGUACGGUAGAGGGUAGUGGAAUUUCCUGUGUAGCGGUGAAAUGCGUAGAUAUAGGAAGGAACACCAGUGGCGAAGGCGACUACCUGGACUGAUACUGACACUGAGGUGCGAAAGCGUGGGGAGCAAACAGGAUUAGAUACCCGAGUAGUCC
rnacentral:rRNA from 1 species